CCUUCCUUCACUGGGAGCUGGCUGCAAACUUCCCUUGGAGACUGGCUCAUGCAUGACAGAUAUGAUCUUUCUGGUUUCUUCCCUGAUCCUUGAUGCUACUGGGGGAGGAGAGAAUCCCCCACGCCUGACACCUAGAUUCCCAAUGACACAGUAAGUUAAAUUUUGACUUAGCUCAGCACAGGUGUAAAAUAGAAUCUGGUAUAGCAAAGUGAACAUGAGCUCCUCUGUGAGAGCCCACAUAUAAAAUUAUAGAGUUGGAAGGGUCCACAAGGAUCAUUUAGUCUAACCCCCUGCAAUGCAGGAAUCUUUUGCCCAAUGUGGGGCUCUGUAUGGUUCUGGUAAACCAUAGUUUGGCUUCCUGUGUUGUUCAAACCAUCUCCCUCUCUCUUGCUUUCAGGAUCACCCUAAAACGAAUUACUUCUGGUAGGCAGGCCCGAAGUCAAUGGUUAUACCCCAUGCUUAUGCCAAACCUCCUACACCUGUAAUCAGUAAAAGUUGUGGUCUUAUUUGACCCAAAGUACUGUUUUUUGCCUGGGUACUGUAUUCUAAAAGACUGGGUGGGUGGUGGUGUGGUGCCUGGGCACGCAACACUCAGCUUUCUCUUGCCUCUGUGUCAUGAAACUCAAGAGGAUAUGAUCAGAGGCAUAAGAAGGUCAGGUGGUACCCGGUGCAGAAAAUUUUGUUACCCCCCCCCACAUUGAUUUUUUAUUUUUAUUUUGGCUGCAAAAAUGUUUUUACAUUAUUUCAUAUUUUCUUACAAAGGAAUGUGGAUUCUGGGCCUCUGAUAACAAGUAGGCGACUAUGGACAGAUACUUAAAUCUACAGGAUUGAUUGUGUUAUGGCUUGUGUUAUUUUAUUUAUAUUUAUUGUUUAUUUAUUUAAUACAAUUUAUUUUUAAAAAACCUGCAAAGUAGUUUACCAAAACAAAAAACAAAAAAACCCCACAGCAGUAAAAUCAAGAAAAAUUAACAAUCCUACUUUAAAACAUACAAAAGCUAAAAUAUUAAAAUUAAAAUUACUUCAACUUCCUAAGCAUCUAGGUUUGCUUGUCUAAAGAAGAAUGCUAUUAGCAGGUACCCGAAAAGAGUUUAUCAAAGGCAUGUGCUUUGUUGCAGUAGGCGGGGAGUUCCAAAGUGCAGGUGCUGUCACAGUAAACAAUGCAGCACAGAUAUUAUGUGGAACCUGUAGUAGUGCUUGAAACUACUGAAGGUGAGGUUUUAUUUAUUGUGAUUUCACCAUGCUCUGUAUUAUCUGAAAAGAAAAACAUUUAUUUAAAAAACAGGACUGCACAGCAGCAAUCUAAUCUCAUCAUGAUCAGUGGGACUUAUUCCCGAGCCGACGGUGCAUAAGAUGGGCUGCAAUCCUAUGUACCCCUUGCAUCCAACUUGUACCUAAAACUCUGCACAAGCCUGCACCAGAGAAUUGUAGAGUUGGAAGGGACCCCUGAGGGUCAUCUAGCCAAACCCCUGGGGCAAUGCAGGAAUCUCAACUAGACCAUCCCUGAUCGAUGGCCAUCCUUCUUCUGUUUUUCCCCUCAGCCAGGACACACAACAGAUAAAGACACAACAACGGAGACUGGAAUUGGGGGCAGGAAACCCAGUGGAGGGUAGGGCAGUAGGGCAGUUCAUAAAAAACUUUUUUUUGAAAAUGCCUGCUCCAAAGGUCUUAUCUUACUAAACUUGGGAUUAUAUAGCUAUAUCUGAAAUUCCAUGCAUAUCAGUUAAUAUCUUGACCCUGCUCCACUGAAUUGAAAAUUCAGCCUUCAUGACAUAGGAAAACGGCCAAGUAAACAGCUAUUUUUGUGGAGGAGGGUCAAGAUAUUAACUGAUAUGCAUGAAAUUUCAUAUAUAGCCAUAUAAUUCCUAGUGUAGUAAGAUAAGACCUUUGGAGCAGGCAUUUUCAAAAAAAAAAAGUUUCUUAUGAGCUGCCCUAGUAGGGCAGUAAUUGCUCCUUGAUAAUUUGUCACCCCCUCCUUGAUGGCACCUGGGGUGGCCCCCCCCUUCCUAUGCUCCUGGAUAUGAUCACUUCCUCCCAAGGUUCCCAGUACUUCCACUUUGUGAAUCAGUUCCUCCCUGUUGGUGAGGACCAGAUCCAAGACAGAUGAUCCUCUUGUUGCUUCUUCCACCUUAUGGGAAAUGAAAUUGUCAGAGAGGCAAUGGAGGAAUUUGUUGGACCUUACAUUCGUGAUAGAGUUGAGUUCCAACAGAUAUUGGGUAGUUGAAGUUUCCUAUAACUACUUUAUCUCUCCUUUUUUGAAUGUUUGGCAAUCUGCUCUAGGAAGGCAUCAUCCAAGUCUUCAGUCUGGCUUGGAGGUCUAAAGUCGAUGUUGCUUCCCUCUCCUACAGUUUUAACUAUCUUGAGCGAACUGAGUAUGCCAGUUUGUGUAACACAGUUAAAUUUGAGGUGGGGAAUCUACAUAACUCAAAAGUUUGCAUAUCUACAAAGCUUUGUCCAAUAAAAUAAAUUGUCUGGGACCAAGCAGAUCUUUCUAAGAGGGAUCUGCUCUCUGCUUUAGGAUUUCAUGGUCGGUCAGUAGGGGCUUUUGGAUAGACAGGCUUGCCUUGUAGUGAAAGGCUGGACUAUCUUUUCUAACUUUGACACCACAUUUUCUACUUUUGCAUCCAUUAUUUUCUCUGGUAGCAAUACCUCUGAGAUGGCUACAAAGUGUAAUGUUAGAUCUAGAUGCUAUAAAAUAUAAUGUGGUCGUGAAGAUGAAUUCAUAUUGAUUCACCUACCAGUAUAUUACGAACUUUGUAUUAAUUUCCAAGUGGUCAAUUGGAAAAAAGUUUGGGAAACACUGAUUUAUGCUAUAGUUUAACAUUGCUUUAUGACGGAUUGCAUGAGUGCCCCCUCCCCCUGUUUUCAGUGGUGCCUGGUAUCUCAUUGUCAGUUUUGGGGUGCCAGGCUAUGACAUUUUUUAUUUACCCAGCCCUUUGGCAGCUAAGUUAGGUUCUGACCUUUUGGUGGGAUGGGGUAGGACUGGUCCUAUUGUGUUGUUGGACAAACAUUUUAGAGAUUUUGUAUUCUGGACUGUUCGUUAGAUUAUUAUUUUUUACUGUUGGUUGAUUUUAUCUUUUUGUGCUUCUUAAGUUGCUUCGAUACUUUUUGUAUAAAAUGUAGAUAAUGAUAGUUUAUGUGAAAGGUAAAUUUCUUUGAAGGUUUGUUGUUGUUGUUUUGCAUUGCGGGGUCACGUGUUUUUGGAUCCCCCUCUGUUGGGGGUCAGGUACAUGCAGCCUCUGCAGGCCACAUGAUACUGGCCUAGAUGGCGGGCUGUGAGUGUCAUGGAGGCCACAUGGGUGCCACCACCCACAUGGGUCAAUGUUGCAAGUAACCAAAAGCAAAGGCCGGAUAACAUAGUUUUAUGGGUACUGGUUCAACAGUCAACCAGGAAGCCAGUAUCACAGGAAGCUCCCGUUGGAUUAUGAGCUACAUUUCCUAUGUAACUUUAAAGGUAAAGGUAUCCCUGACCAUUACGUCCAGUCGCAGACGACUCUGGGAUUGCGGCACUCAUCUCGCUUUAUUGGCUGAGGGAGCCGGCGUACAGCUUCUGGGUCAUGUGGCCAGCAUGAUUAAGCCGCUUCUGGCGAACCAGAGCAGUGCACGGAAACGCCUUUUACGAGCGCACCUCGUCACAGGGAUUCAAACCGCUGACCUUCUGAUCGGCAAGCCCUAGCAGGAGAAGCAGGUGAAAAGAAUAGCAAAGCCUGCAUGCCAUGCAAGUAAAUUGACACAGAGGAAAGAGCCAUAGGUUUUGCUGAAUUUUAUUUCACUUUUACAGCUACAUGGAAUGUCAGAUUGGGAAGGCUAUGGAGUUAAAAAACCUGAUCAGUUCAUGCCCAGUUGCAGCAGGAGCAGCUGGCAUCAAAGACGAGACCCGUCUGGCAAUGCUGCAGGAAAGUCCUGCCGUUCACACAGUGGUAAAAGCUGUUCUUGUCUGUUGGGUCUGGGUACAGGCCUCCGGCUCUGCUAGCACAGAAUCCACUGCCUCCGGUGCUGGGGCUGCCACCGGAGCCACUGCUUGGGCUGCCACCAGAUCCACUGCUUGGGCUGCCACCGGAGCUUCCUCCACCACCGCUGGGGGCUGGUGGGAUUGGCUCAAUGGCCUUGGAUGGGGCUUUGCAACCUGGAAGAGAAGCAGAAGGUAAGCCAUCUCAGCUGAUUCGUCUCUCAAAUAAUCACUACUGGCUCAAAAUGUGAAUUCUACAUCAUUCUGAACUUGAUUUAAGGGAUUCUGCCUACAUGACAUGUGUUUGGCUUUUUCCAUAAAGAAAACCUGCCUUGUACUUUCUCCCUAGUGUGUGAUCCACAUCAGUGUGAAUAGAGAAGGUGAUCUCCUGAUCUGAAACUCCCAUCAGCUCCAGCCAGCCUGGCUAAUGGUCAGGGAUUAUGGGAAUUCUAAUCCUAAACAUCUAGAGGGCACCAAUUAAUCAUGAGCACAAGGAAAAGGCUUUUAAAAAUCUUAUUUAAAAGACCUCUGAUUUCUCAUUCUACUCUAGAUCUGUACGACUUGUGAUCCAUUGGGCUGAAUGCAGGUCACCAGCUAUAAACUGUGGCCUGGCAGUUUUUUGAGAACUUGUCUUUUUCUGUUUCCAAACAGGUAGCAAGUACUGAAGGUUAAUUCAACCUCAUACACAGAUGGUGGGUCAUGAGUUGUACAGUCCAGCUCAAAUCCUCCCAGAACUUGAGGGUCCCUGUGGCUGUAAAUCUAAAGUACUUGGCUAUCUGUGGAGUAGGUCAGGAACUACAGCUCAGUGGCAGAGUACAUGCUUUGCAUGCAGGAGGUCCCUGCUUCAGCCUUUGGCAUUUUUAGUUUAAAGGGUCCAGAACCUGGUGAUGGGAAAGACCCUUGAGAUCUGUGGUCUAGAUGACACUGAGCUAGAUGGACUGAUAGUCUGUCCUAGCAUAAGGCAGCUUCCAACAUUCUUAAUUUAUGAAUACAUAGGUUCUGCAUUCAGUGCCAGUGAUAUGAUCUCCAAAAUAUACCUUCUCUUUCACUCUGGACUGCAGCAGCCCUUUCUCCCUGAGUCUUAUCGGUCCCUGAUUCUAUAGGUGUGGUGAAUUCUUCUUGGUUGUUUCCCCCCCAUCCUUUAAUAAUGCAUUGUAUUUUUUUGCCCUUCGAAACCUUCCAAAUCCAACUGUUCUCAUUCUCUAUUUUGUUUUUGUUUUUUAAGUGCUACCAUUGAUAUCGAAACGUAUCGAGCAUGUUCUAAACAAGCCUAAAAGUGACUUAACUGAUCUUGGUACCUCAGUUUGGAGGUUAGUUCUAAAAUAAGUAACAGUGAUUUGUUUUUCAGCAUUAUGAACUUUUGCUGGAACUUUGGCUUUCACAAUCGUUUUGAGAACUUUUCCUGCUGCUGCUGCUACUUACUAGCACUCUGCAGUCCGAGAGCGUUCUUCAGGGUGGUGAUCAAGGGGUAUUUGCCUUGGUUGCAGAAAGUACCAGUGAAGUCAUCCAAGUCAAGAGACCAAACCAUAGCACCUGCAAAGUUGUUCUUCUUCAACCACUCAGCCUGUCAGAUGCCAAGAAAGAUGCCCAAGUCAAUCUACUAUAUAGAAAAGCUGUACUUAGUGGCAUUACAUCAGCCAUAGUCCUCAUACCUUGAUUUUGAAACUCUUGAUGAACCUACUAAGACAUUCUAAUGCACCAGAAUGAAUGUAUGCUUUUGUGAGACUGGUACCAUACCUUGAUCUGGAAGCUCUUAAUGUUGUCAUACCCCAGCCACUCGUUUCCCUUGUAGGCAUAAGGCACAUCUUGAGGAGCAUCCCAAGCUUGAGUGGCUCCAUUCUUCAGGAAGGUGCAGAUCUAACAGAGGAAACAAAAAAGGCACGUUGCAAAUCAUUGCAGGACUGUCUUGGUUGCUGUCUCAUAAUGCUAUGCGCAUAGUGCAGAGAAGUGAACUGAAAGUAUCAAUGCACAAAUCUGCAUAGGCUUCAUAAAGUAUUUCCUCCAUGGCUUAAAAAGGAGGCACAAUGUGUAUCAAGAGUUGAGAAUAUCUUGCUGGCUGCACAGUGAAAAAAGUUAUUAUCUUGUCCUCAUUUACCUGAAAUUCCUGCCUACCCCAAAAACCAGUGUGCAUUAGCCACAUUACUUCAUCUCAGUAUAAUUUUGAGCAGAAAUGCUAAAACCCAGGUGCCCUAGCUAGUGAUAUCCAUACAAAAAAUGGUCCCUUGAUCCCUAUGGAGGAAUGGCUACUAAGCUUUAGAAACAUUUUUUGCACCACUGGUUUUGUGCAAACAGCAUAUUUUCCAAGCUAUUAGGCCAAAAUUUAGUUGUAGCAUCUUUGUAGGAUUUCUUAUUUGAUUGGCCUAUCUUUAGAAUUAUAUUCUUCAUCUGUAUAGUGUGAUGCAAAUAAAUGUUUUAAUGGAUUGUGGUGGGAAAAGUGAACAAACCUCAUAGUAAGCCCAGAAGCCAGCUUGUCUUGUGUAUGGUCCAGCAGGCCCAGCGCCAGUUGUGGGAGCACCAACAGCUGUGUUGGAUGGAUCGCUGAGGAUGAAGGUGUGUCCAUAAGUUGGGAAUCCAACAAUGAGUUUCUCAGCUGGGGCACCAUUCUUCUUCCAGUAGUUCAUGGCAUAGUCCUACAAAGGCAAAUCAUGUGUUACUCUCUGCUUGCAAAGUGGAAUGUUAAUUUCUUCAUUUUUUUUAGGUUUAGUUCCUGGCAGGCUUUGAAGCACCCUAUAAAAAUAGGCUUCCAGCUUGGGAUGAGUGAAUCUGCCAGUUGCAGGUUUUCUCUCUCAGUUUCUUAUUUUUUCACCCUUAAAUUUGGUUCUCCACAUUUCCGUAUCAGCGUAUGAUUUUCAUUAAAGCAAGCACUUUUGCCUUAUACACAUUUUUUUUGCAAAGCAAUUUUCCCUAAUACAAUGCCUUUUUGUAUGUUAUGUUCACUAGCGUAUUAUUUUUUAAUGCACAUCUUAUUCUAGUAUAUGUACUUUUGACACAUUAUUUUCCUGAAGAAUUGCAUUGCAAUAUUUGGAAAAGUGUGAAUUUCAAGGGAUGGCUAUGUUUCAGUUUACAUGUUGUUUCAAAAAGUGCAAAUUAGGCAGAUUGACCUUUAAAUGUCUCCCCCAGCCCUACUUUCAACUUACAACAUUGAAGUAGAUGUUUCCACCAGUGUCUGCAGGACCUCUGUACAGAGGGCUGUUCUCUCCAGUGUAUCUCUCCCAGGAGCCAUGGAAGUCAUAGGUCAUCACAUGGAAAUAGUCCAGAUACCUGUGACGAGAUUAAAUGUAUCUGUGUCCAGUUCUUCUUCUUCUUCUUUGCAACUAUUAGUAAUAUGUUGAAUAAACUCUAUGCUUCUAAGGCUUUUGCAGUCUCAUCUUCCAUAAACAUUACCUCUCUAGACCAUAGCCCAUUUUCUGCUAUGCAGUAGCACCACCAUUCUUUUUUCUGACUAUAUAUGAUAGCAUUUGAUGUAUAAUUAGACCCAUAAAUGCAGUUCCAUAGUGUAAGCCCAUCACAGGCACAGUUUGCUCUUCAAAACAGAUCAUUAUUGUGACUUUGACUUUGGAAUAUUUGAUCAUUGGGUUUUUUUAGCCAACCUUCUUAGGUUUGUCCUUCAGGAUGAAUAUCUAUAGCACUAUCAAUGUUUUGGUGCUUUAUUAAAGUAAUCAACAGAGGAAAUAGUAUCUGUGGCUGCCUUGUCUCCUGAAGUAACUCUGUGUACUAGGACUGGCUGUAAGGUACACUGUUCUCCUAAAACCAGCCAGUAUGCUAAUACUGCAGCUGCCUCUAUGACAGUGACGCUGGCAUAGUGAUUUUACCAAUGAGACAUACUGGCUUGGUUUCACUUUAAUGCACAGUGUGCAACUGAUAAACAAUAUGACACACAUCAGAUGAUUCAAAAUAACAUUAAUUGUAAGGGUAUCUUCACCUAUGCAUAUACAAAAGACAGAAGUUAAAUUUAGAGAGAGAGAGAGAGAGAGAGAGAGAGAGAGAGAGAGACAAAGUACCUAAAAUACUGUACUUACUGGCCAAGCUCAGGAAUCUGGUAGCCUGACUCAAUAUUGGAAAGACCAGCAGCAACAGCAGCAGUGACCAUGAGUCUGGGUCUGUUCACUUGUUUGGCUUCCUUCUCAAAGGCUUCCAACAUUUCCUACAAAGCAAACAGUAAGGUAAAUGUGAAUUUUCUGACAGAGCCCCACACUCUUCUUACUGUUCGGGUUUUGAGUCAAUCCUAUGAAUUUUAGUCAACAAAAUCAUUAAAGUGACAAUUUCAGACUAUAAAAAAUGCCUAUGAAUAAAAAUUUCUUGAAAAAACUAAGAGGUGAGGAACCUGUGGCCCUGCAGAUGUUGUUGGUCUACCACCAUCCCUGACCACUGGCCAUGCUAGCUUAUGCUGAUUGGAGCUGUAGUGAAACAACAACUGGAGGACCACAAGUUGCCCCACUCCUGUUUUAGGUGUUGUCACAGGAAGCACCAUUUUAGAAGAGGCGCUCACUUCUCUGUGAGAUAGAUGAAAGCCUGUCUCUUCUAAAAUGAUGCUCACCAGUUUUGGUUUUUGUAGAUAAUGAUAUUAAAAAUAAAGACCCCAUCAAUCUGAGGCAAUUUUUAAUUGAUAGCAAGGUUUUAAAAGAUUGAUAAAACCUAUUAACUGAGUAAUGGGACAGUCGUACACAUGCUAACUUAGAAACAGGCUCCACCAUCUUCUGUAGGGCUUACACCCAAGUGGUUGUGUGUAGGAUAGCAGCAUAAAUGUUGUAGCCCUAUGUAGCAUUAUUGUUAUGCUGCUAUGGCAACGGGACCACUCAUCUCUGCUGGUGAGAGUGACUUCCUUCCUUGACUUUAGGGCAGCAGUAGGCAAUAUGGUGCGCUUUAUUGUGGACUACAACUCCCAUCAGCUUAGCCAGCAAUGGUCAACGGUCAGGAGCAGUGGGUGUUGUGGUCCACAGUAUUUGGUUUUAGCCACCCUAGGUUAGGAGAAUAAAGGCAGAGAUAAAUUGAUGCUAAACUAUCCAAUCUGGCUUCUCCCUUUCUGGGUGGUGGUGGUGAAAUAAGAACAACAUAAUCAGUGGUUUUACCUUAACCAAUAAAGUAAAGAGGGACUUAUCCUGAGGGGUGCUGCCUCUAGAGCCAGGGUACUCCCAGUCAAAGUCCAGCCCAUCAAACUCGUACUGGCGCAAGAAAGUGAUGACAGAGUUGAUGAAGGUCUGGCGGGUCUCAGGAGUGGCAACCAUUGCAGUGAAUCUGUAAUGUGGCCAUAAGAGGGUAGAAGAUAAUUACCUACUUAUUAUGUGCAUUCUUUUCUCUAUUACUAGGAUGAAGUAUGCAAGCGUUGCUUCAACUUACGGUGCUGUUCCAAAGUUCCAGCCUCCAAUUGCCAGAAGAGUCUUCAGGUCCCCAUUCCUGUCAUGGAAGAGAUUGCAGAGAUUAAAUCUACCCUAUUUCUGGAACAAGGAGUCCCGAGUUGGUGCCAUCUUGCUAUCUAUUUUGUGUUUGUUUUUAUAAUCUUGAACCCCAUUUUCUUAUGUCAGACGAUCUGUCAAGUAGUCUAGAAUGAGUCACUUUUUAUUAUUGGUUUGCAUCCCAACAUCAGCUGACAACCUUGUAGUAUCGUAGCUCCACAUGUACUCAAACUUUCUUGCUUCUUUGUUCUAUGUAGCGCUAGGUUCAGCUAGGUUACAACACUGGCCAUUGGAUCCCUCUGGGCAGGAAGGCAUAUGAUAGUGCCUUCUGUUCCAGUUGAGCCUCAUAUAAACAAGGCAGAAGCAGAAUGUGGGAAGGGCGGGUGACCAUUAUUCAUGGAUACUCACUGAUUUUUCAAGCCAUUGAAAGAUUUAUAAAGAGUGACGUCAUUCCAUUCAAUGGUUGCAAUCUCAUUGUUGCGCAUCCCAGCAAAGGCAUAGAUCAGGUGAGUACACAGACAAGGGUCAAUGUUGUCGGGCUUGUAUUUCCCAAGGCCUGGUCUGUAUUGGCCCCAGUUGGUGAAGUAGCAUGAUAGCACAUAGGCAGAACCUAUCAAGACAAAUAGGACAGGUUAUAAUAAAAGUUUAAAUGGAAUUGAGCAAGACUGAAGGGUGAGGAGAAGAAAGACAAGUGCGUAUUUUCUUCAGCAAUAAUAAAACAUGUAUAUCUGCCAGGUCUUAGUAUAUAUUGCAGAUUCGGCAUGUCAUUAUAGUAGGUGCAGAAGAGCAUUCAUUGCUGUGAUAUUUAGGAGGGAUUGCUGCAAUAUUCUUAGAGAUAGACACAUGCAGCUUAGUGUAAUGUAAAUGCACUAAUUUUCUAAACAUAUUUUCUUUCAAAAUAUGCAUUUCAAAAUCCCCUUUAAUGGUUUUGAAAGCUGGGAACUGUGUUGCAACGUUUAGGGAAAUGCAAAAUACCACAAAAGGCUAUGGGCUCCACUGAAAAGACCACAGCCUGCCACUGUGGAGACUGUGGUGUUUUUAUAAUAUUGGGUUUAUUUACACAUAUAUGCAACCUGCACCUAUGAUGGAGGGGUUCACAGCAUUAACACCCACAGAAGCUCUUGUUUCUCCCAAAAUUACAGCCUUGGAUUCAAAUGGAAAUCAAACAUUGCUCUCAAGAGGUGCUUUACCUCUAGGUCACAUCACUGCAACUCAACUCUAAACUCAGGCUUUGUCCUUCUAACUAUCUAUGAGUUGAGGGAAGGGCCCACCCAUUUGCUGCCUCACAUAGAGCCCCUUUCCUUUGUUUUCCUUAAUGGCCCAUCACCCAGGCUGUCACUCCAACACAGGAAGCGACUAGGUGACACAUAGACAUUAAUUUAAAGAGCUGCUUUCCAUACCUAUUUGUGCAUUCAGCAGGAGCACCAGACCUAUAAAGAAAAAGGGAAUAAUUUGUAAGUUAAAUAUGUAUAAACUUUUAUGAGUUGUUUAGAAAUCAUAGUGUAUCACUAUUUAACAUUGAGAAGAGUGGCAAACAAUUUCUGUUUUGAUGAAAGACUUUGUUGUAGGCCUUAUAUUGACCGCUACAUUAUAUAGUUAUUCAAACACGAUUUUAAAUAGAAGCACUUUAACUGCUUGAAUUUUCAAAUGAAUUGUAAUGGAGGUAUAAUUUACACUGUGCAUGCUACUUGGAGGAGGAAUAAUUCAUUUUCUUCCAUAAUUUGUACCUCAAAGGUAUCCAUGGACUUCAUUGCUAAGUAUUAUGCAGGAAUUUUCAAAAACUGAAAUUAAUAGUGGGAAAAGAAGGGGUUGAUACAACUGAAUAAAAAUCUGCAAGAUUUUCAGUUGUCAGUAUUACAGGGAACAUACUUGGGUCUCCAGGAAUUUUCCCCAACCUUAUCUGGAGACACAAGGGACUGAACCAGAGACUCUUUGCAUGCAAAGCAUGUGCUUUUCCACUGAGCUAUUCUCCAAUGGAGGGAAUUCCUGAUUUCCAAAUAUCCCGAACAAAGAAAGCUUUCUCUCCACACUAUGGAAUGGAGGGAAGCAACACUUCUGGUUUUGUAAGGAAAUAUGGUAGUGAAUGAAAUCUUUGCUAUAAAAUAGCAAGAAUAAAAUAAACUUGCUCAGUUAUUUUGAAAUCCAUUCAGUUAAUUAAAAGCUGUUCUCUUUUAAAUAAUAGAAUAUGCAUGGAAAAGUAAAGAAUGAGAAUUACAGAAUGAGCUUCUUCCACCAGCAGAGAAAAGUUACACCAUUUUAUGAAUUUCAGAUUUGUACUUACCGGUAAGAAGCAUCAACUUGGCCAUCUUGGUCUCUGUACUGAUUUAACAUUGUUUCUCUCUUCCUUUUAUACCAUACACUUGCCCUUCUACCUGUUCAGUGCCUUGUGACCAAAGCAUCAGGUGAUUGGGACAUUCAUCUAAAAUUAUUGGCAUGCAACAAAUUCCACUACUAGAACAAAGGCACAAUUAAAAAACCAAACUUAAGAAAACAUGGUUAUCACUAUUUUUUAUUUUACCAGUGCCAUUGGGAUCCUGGUGGAAUUAGAUUACAGUGUUUAAGUCUCUUUAACUGAAUGAUAACAUAUAGAAGUCAGGAUUCUAUAUUUGCUGUACCAGUUUGCUUUUGAUUACACUUAUAAAUUGAGAACAAACAGUUAUAUAACCUGUUUACCGACGACUUCCAGCUGUUUGUCCCAGUUACCUGAUUGUUCCCUUGCAAAACUGAACUGUGUGCAUGUAUUUUGUCUCUUUGAGGGGGCCGAUCUAGGGUGAAGGGGAGAGAAGUGACUAGAGGAGAAGGUUCCCCCAGCAUUUGCUCAAGAAUCUAGAUGUGUCCAGAAGCCUAGAAAGGUUUGCAACCAUGCAUAUAAAUGGACAACUGACGAUUCCUUAAUUAGUGAGAAAUUACAAGGAUCUCCCAAGCAGGAAUACUCUCUGCUUCCCUGGACUAGGUUUAACAAAACCAUGGUUAGAAAACUGGUUCUCAAGUCUUGUUAGGCUUUCCUGUGUCACAGGAGUAGAACCUGUGACCCUCCAAAUAAUACUGGAC